UACGUAGGGUGCGAGCGUUGUCCGGAAUUACUGGGCGUAAAGAGCUCGUAGGCGGCUUGUCGCGUUGUUCGUGAAAAUUUACCGCUCAACGGUGAACUUGCGGGCGAUACGGGCAGGCUAGAGUACUGCAGGGGAGACUGGAAUUCCUGGUGUAGCGGUGAAAUGCGCAGAUAUCAGGAAGAACACCCGUGGCGAAGGCGGCUCUCUGGGACGGUACUGACGCUGAGACGCGAAAGCGUGGGGAGCGAACAGG
rnacentral:rRNA from 1 species